UACCACGUUUUUAGCGGCGGACUUAACAAGCUGCACCGAAGAAACCGACUUUAAGACAGGCGGUCCUCCUCCCUCCCAUUACAGAAAUAUCCUUAAAAAAUCAAUCUUCCUGGUGAACUCUAUCUCCUAUCCCUAAAAUGGGCAGGCCAUUGUCCACCGUUGAAAUUCCUGAUAGACGAUACAUUCCUGACCGCCAGAACAGCCGUUACACACCAGAAUCUGACGCCUCCCCUGACCAUCGCCGCCGCCGUGACCGUGGUAGUCCCUCUUAUCAAAGCUACGACGAUCGCCGUCGCGAAAUCGAUCGAGGCAGACGCCGUCGGUCGAGCUCACCCGACUACUCUAGAAGCCCUAGAAGAAGAACAACAAGAAGAAGCCCAAGCCCUAGGCAAAGACAAACCCUAGAUCAUCCUCUCCCCAAAAAAUUCGGCAAGGACUGGUCUUUUCUUGAUAGGAAUGGAAGGGAAUCGGAUGAGGAAUCGGAUGAGGAAUUGAAAGGAUUGAGUUUUGAGGAGAGGAGGAGGCUGAAGAGGCAGAAGAUGAGGAAGUCUAUGAGGUAUUGUAUUUGGAAUGUUUCACCAAGUCCUCCGAGAGGGGAUAAUGAAGAGGAACUUGAGGAGAAAGCGGAUAAGAUUGAGGAGAAGCAUGGAGAGGAUGAAGAAAAGAGUGAUGAUUCUAGCGGGAAAGAGAAGGAGAAAGGAAAUGAUGGAAAGGGGAUAAUGGGGUCAGAGAAUUCUGGGAGUAGCGAGUCAGAGUCAGAGUCAGAGUCUGAGUCUGAGUCAGAUGAUUCGAGGGAGAAAAGAAGGAGGGGAUUGAGUUCUAAACGUAGGAGGAGAAGGAACAGUGAUAGUGAAUCAGAUGUUAGUGAGAGCCAAAGUGAGAGCGAACCCGACUCUGAAGAAGAUCGGAAACGGAGAAAGAAGUCCCGGAAAAGUAUUAGUAGGCGGAGAAACAGUGGUAAGAGCAUUGGUAGAAGAAGAAAGAGUACAAGGAAGAAGAGUAAGUAUAGUGAUUCUGAUUAUAGUGGGAGUGAGGAGUCUGAUGAUGAUCGUGUAAAGUCUAAGAAGAGGAGUCGCUCUUCGGGUUCGCAAUCUAAGGGGAGCAAGAAGAGAAGCACUGGAACAGAGAGUGAGAAUCUGGAUUCCAAUGAGGGUUCUGGUUCUGAGGAAAACAAAGUAAAUGAUGAUGAUGCUGCCAAGGCUGAAACUGAUGCUGAGGCAUUGAUGUUUAAAGAAAUGAUUGAGGCACAAAAGAAACCCGCUCUGGAUAAUGAACCUGAGGUUGGGCCAAUGCCCUUGCCUAGAGCUGAAGGGCAUAUUAGUUAUGGUGGAGCUUUGAGGCCUGGUGAAGGUGAUGCUAUUGCUCAGUAUGUGCAGCAAGGGAAACGUAUUCCACGUAGAGGUGAAGUGGGUCUUUCUGCAGAGGAGAUUCAGAAAUUUGAGAAUCUUGGGUAUGUGAUGAGUGGUAGUAGGCAUCAGAGGAUGAAUGCCAUUCGUAUCAGGAAAGAAAACCAAGUUUACAGUGCUGAAGAUAAGCGGGCGCUGGCCAUGUUUAACUAUGAAGAGAAGGCGAAACGUGAACACAAGGUCAUGGCUGAUUUGCAACGGCUGGUGCAGCGUCAUAUUGGGCAGGAUGUUGGCCCUAGCCAUGAUCCAUUUGCUGCAAAAGCAUCCGAUGGUGCUGAUGCUUAGGGAGACCACCGAGUAGAAGGGACCUGCCACUGAUUGUUUUCCUAUGAAGUCUUGGAAACUUUGUUGCAUGAAGUAUCCUGACAUGGAUCCAUCAUGAGCCUGCGAACAAAUUUCUUUGACACUUCUGUUUCAAGGUAUCUGACUGGCAAGAGAAAUCCAAGCAAGCAAAAACUGGGAAUCUGACCUCUCACUUUUAAUUCUGUGCAUACAUGUAAAAGUUGUGAGAGGACUGGUUUAGAGAAUAUCAAUGAAGAUCUCCAUUGUAGGACAUGUAUCUGCAGACAGAAUGUGAUGUGUCUCAAUAAUUCUAGGGAUCUGGCGAGGGAUGCUCAUAUUUAUGCAACUGUAUUAACUUAAGGAAAAUUGUCUUUUUGUUUGACUAGACUUUUUACAAUUAGAUGGGAACUGUAAUUUUGCACUACUUUUAAUCCUUUUUAAGUUGUCCAUUAUUUCUGUUAUUUUUA